UACGAAGGGGGCUAGCGUUGCUCGGAAUGACUGGGCGUAAAGGGCGCGUAGGCGGUUUGUACAGUCAGGUGUGAAAUUCCCGGGCUCAACCUGGGGGCUGCACAGGAAACUAGCGGGCUUGAGUUCGGGAGAGGGAAGCGGAAUUCCGGGUGUAGCGGUGAAAUGCGUAGAUAUCAGGAGGAACACCGAUGGCGAAGGCAGGUCUCUGGGCUGACACUGACGCUCAUGCACGAAAGCGUGGGGAGCAAACAGG
rnacentral:rRNA from 1 species